rnacentral:rRNA from 1 species
UGGCGACCGGCGCACGGGUGAGUAACGCGUAUGCAACCUGCCUGUAACAGGGGAAUAGCCUCUUGAAAGAGAGAUUAAUGCCGCAUAAUACGAUAUUCGGGCAUCCGGGUAUUUUUAAACAUUUAUGGGUUACAGAUGGGCAUGCGUUUCAUUAGGUAGUUGGUGAGGUAACGGCUCACCAAGCCGACGAUGAAUAGGGGUUCUGAGAGGAAGGUCCCCCACACUGGUACUGAGACACGGACCAGACUCCUACGGGAGGCAGCAGUGAGGAAUAUUGGUCAAUGGACGCAAGUCUGAACCAGCCAAGUCGCGUGAAGGAUGAAGGUAUUAUGUAUUGUAAACUUCUUUUGUCAGGGAAUAAUGGGUGUCACGUGUGACGCAGAGGAAUGUACCUGACGAAUAAGCAUCGGCUAACUCCGUGCCAGCAGCCGCGGUAAUACGGAGGAUGCGAGCGUUAUCCGGAUUUAUUGGGUUUAAAGGGUGCGUAGGCGGUUUGUUAAGUCAGUGGUGAAAGUUUGCGGCUCAACCGUAAAAUUGCCAUUGAAACUGGCGAACUUGAGUACAGUAGAGGUAGGCGGAAUUCGUGGUGUAGCGGUGAAAUGCUUAGAUAUCACGAAGAACUCCGAUUGC